GAUGAACGCUGGCGGCGUGCCUAAUACAUGCAAGUCGAGCGAACAGACGAGGAGCUUGCUCCUCUGACGUUAGCGGCGGACGGGUGAGUAACACGUGGAUAACCUACCUAUAAGACUGGGAUGACUUCGGGAAACCGGAGCUAAUACCGGAUAAUAUAUUGAACCGCAUGGUUCAAUAGUGAAAGACGGUUUUGCUGUCACUUAUAGAUGGAUCCGCGCCGCAUUAGCUAGUUGGUAAGGUAACGGCUUACCAAGGCAACGAUGCGUAGCCGACCUGAGAGGGUGAUCGGCCACACUGGAACUGAGACACGGUCCAGACUCCUACGGGAGGCAGCAGUAGGGAAUCUUCCGCAAUGGGCGAAAGCUUGACGGAGCAACGCCGCGUGAGUGAUGAAGGUCUUCGGAUCGUAAAACUCUGUUAUUAGGGAAGAACAAAUGUGUAAGUAACUAUGCACGUCUUGACGAUACCUAAUCAGAAAGCCACGGCUAACUACGUG
rnacentral:rRNA from 1 species